UGUGCCUGGCGUUGGCUGCCAUGCCUGGCCCCUGCAUGCCCCUGCCCUGUACCUGGCCUCAGCACGCUUCCCAUGAGCAGGAUUGUUAGGGAGCACCCAAGGGGAGUUUCCAGAAGCAUUGAACCAAACGGUCCUUUGUUCACGACUCAGAAAUGCUUCACCUCCCUUGGGGACGCUCCCGAGGCUGCCCGGGAAGUCGUGUUGGCCCCACCGCUUCUGCAAGGAUGAGAGCACACGUGGUCAGCAGCACAAUUCCAGCAGGAAGAUGUCAAAGCAUUCAACAAAAUCUCAGAUGUGAGCACCGGGGAUUACCAGGACUUUCAGAUUCACAUUCGUUUUCAUAAUGUGCUUCAUUUUCUGAGAAUUCUGUGGCAUUUUGGCCUCUGCCAUGAGGAAUACAUUCCCGUUCUGACAAUUCAGAAUUGGCUCUUUGUAGUGUUUGUCCUUGGGGAAGAAUGAAUUGUUGGAGAAGGUGUUUGAAUGACCUUGUGCUUCGGGGCUCAUCGAGAACCAUCCGCACAAUCCGUCUGGGCAUCAGCCUCUUU
rnacentral:lncRNA from 1 species